AACGAACGCUGGCGGCAGGCCUAACACAUGCAAGUCGAACGCCCUAGCAAUAGGGAGUGGCAGACGGGUGAGUAACGCGUGGGAAUAUCCCCCUCAGUACGGAAUAGCCCAGGGAGACUUGGAGUAAUACCGUAUACGUCCGUGAGGAGAAAGAUUUAUCGCUGAGGGAUUAGCCCGCGUCGGAUUAGCUAGUUGGUGAGGUAACGGCUCACCAAGGCGACGAUCCGUAGCUGGUUUGAGAGAAUGACCAGCCACACUGGGACUGAGACACGGCCCAGACUCCUACGGGAGGCAGCAGUGGGGAAUCUUGGGCAAUGGGCGCAAGCCUGAUCCAGCCAUGCCGCGUGAGUGACGAAGGCCUUAGGGUUGUAAAGCUCUUUUGCCGGGGACGAUAAUGACGGUACCCGGAGAAUAAGUCCCGGCUAACUUCGUGCCAGCCGCCGCCGUAA
rnacentral:rRNA from 1 species